UUCUAUCUUUCUUAUUAAUUACCCCUUCAGGGGCAUGGUACUCUAAUAGAAGUUGAAAGAGAGCUAUAAACUAGAUGAUUUCCUGACAAGCAUCAUCAAAGAAUAGUCUACUAUUGAAAGAUGAAUCGACUCGUGCACAAAAUCGAAAAAAGCCUUUCAACUCCUAACUGUAAAUAGAACUACUACCUACAUCCAAGGAUUGCUAUGCCAAAAAUGAUCAUGCCAGCCAAGAGGGUACUUUUCUCCCCGAAAUACCCCUACGAUGAAGAUUAUAGCUCAACUAUGUCCUUGAUUUUCUCCAAACGAGCUAAUUUCAAUAGUUAUCGCCCCCUG
rnacentral:lncRNA from 1 species